AGAGUGAACGCUGGCGGUAGGCCUAACACAUGCAAGUCGAACGGCAGCACGGUAAGAGCUUGCUCUUAUGGGUGGCGAGUGGCGGACGGGUGAGGAAUACAUCGGAAUCUACCUUUUGGUGGGGGAUAACGUAGGGAAACUUACGCUAAUACCGCAUACGCCCUUCGGGGGAAAGCCGGGACCAGCAAUGGCCUGGCGCUGAUAGAUGAGCCGAUGUCGGAUUAGCUAGUUGGUGAGGUAAUGGCUCACCAAGGCGACGAUCCGGUAGCUGGUCUGAGAGGAUGAUCAGCCACACAGGAACUGAGACACGGUCCAGACUCCGAGGGAGCAGCGAGUGGGAAUAGUUGGAACAGUGGGC
rnacentral:rRNA from 1 species